UACGUAGGGUGCGAGCGUUACUCGGAAUUACUGGGCGUAAAGCGUGCGUAGGUGGUGAGUUAAGUCUGAUGUGAAAUCCCCGGGCUCAACCUGGGAAUGGCAUUGGAUACUGGCUCGCUAGAGUGCGGUAGAGGGUGGUGGAAUUCCCGGUGUAGCAGUGAAAUGCGCAGAUAUCGGGAAGAACACCCGUGGCGAAGGCGGCUCUCUGGGACGGUACUGACGCUGAGACGCGAAAGCGUGGGGAGCGAACAGG
rnacentral:rRNA from 1 species